CCUACGGGUGGCAGCAGUGGGGAAUAUUGGACAAUGGGCGAAAGCCUGAUCCAGCCAUGCCGCGUGUGUGAAGAAGGCCUUCGGGUUGUAAAGCACUUUCAGUGGGGAAGAAAGCCUUGGGGCUAAUACCCUCGAGGAAGGACAUCACCCACAGAAGAAGCACCGGCUAACUCCGUGCCAGCAGCCGCGGUAAUACGGAGGGUGCGAGCGUUAAUCGGAAUUACUGGGCGUAAAGCGCGCGUAGGCGGUCUGAUAAGCCGGUUGUGAAAGCCCCGGGCUCAACCUGGGAACGGCAUCCGGGACUGUCUGGCUAGAGUGCAGGAGAGGAAGGUAGAAUUCCCGGUGUAGCGGUGCAAUGCGUAGAGAUCGGGAGGAAUACCAGUGGCGAAGGCGGCCUUCUGGACUGACACUGACGCUGAGGUGCGAAAGCGUGGGUAGCAAACAGGAUUAGAUACCCCAGUAGUC
rnacentral:rRNA from 1 species